rnacentral:rRNA from 1 species
UCAUUACCGAGUGAGGGCCCUCUGGGUCCAACCUCCCACCGUGUUUAUUUUACCUUGUUGCUUCGGCGGGCCCGCCUUAACUGGCCGCCGGGGGGCUUACGCCCCCGGGCCCGCGCCCGCCGAAGACACCCUCGAACUCUGUCUGAAGAUUGUAGUCUGAGUGAAAAUAUAAAUUAUUUAAAACUUUCAACAACGGAUCUCUUGGUUCCGGCAUCGAUGAAGAACGCAGCGAAAUGCGAUACGUAAUGUGAAUUGCAAAUUCAGUGAAUCAUCGAGUCUUUGAACGCACAUUGCGCCCCCUGGUAUUCCGGGGGGCAUGCCUGUCCGAGCGUCAUUUCUGCCCUCAAGCACGGCUUGUGUGUUGGGCCCCGUCCUCCGAUCCCGGGGGACGGGCCCGAAAGGCAGCGGCGGCACCGCGUCCGGUCCUCGAGCGUAUGGGGCUUUGUCACCCGCUCUGUAGGCCCGGCCGGCGCUUGCCGAUCAACCCAAAUUUUUAUCCAGGUUGACCUCGGAUCAGGUAGGGAUACCCGCUGAACUUAAGCAUAUCAAUAAG